UAAAAGUGCCUAUAAAAAAUAUUACAAAAUAUCUUUGAUAAAAUUUAUUUCAAGAAUUGAUGUAACUAAAACGAAAACGAUGGGAGAAGUCAUAGAAAUUUUAAAAGUAGAAAAUACUUACUUGCCGCAGGAUGGCAUAAGCGAAGUUGUUGUUGCUGAUUUAUUAGUCAAAAAUUCACACGACGAUACACUUAUUAUACCUGAUAUAAUAGAUGCUGGAGAAGGUAU